UGGAGUGAUUUGUCUGGUUAAUUCCGUUAACGAACAAGACCUUAACCUGCUAAAUAGCUAGGCUUAGCUUCGGGGACUAUUGGUGUUUAACUGAU
rnacentral:rRNA from 1 species